GAUGAACGCUAGCGGCGGGCUUAAUACAUGCAAGUCAAGGGGUAGCAAUACACCGGCGUACGGGUGCGUAACGCGUAUGGAACCUGCCCUUAUCCGGGGGAUAACUCGGGGAAACUCGAGCUAAUACCGCAUAAGAUAGUAGAAUGGCAUCAUUUAGCUAUUAAAGAUUUAUCUGAUAAGGAUGGCCAUGAGUAAGAUUAGUUAGUUGGUGGGGUAACGGCUCACCAAGUCUACGAUCUUUAGGGGCUCUGUGAGGAGAAUCCCCCACACUGGCACUGAGAUACGGGCCAGACUCCUACGGGAGGCAGCAGUAGGGAAUAUUGGGCAAUGGGCGGAAGCCUGACCCAGCCACGCCGCGUGCAGGAAGAAGGCCCUCUGGGUUGUAAACUGCUUUUGAUUGGGAAGAAAGCAUCUCAUGCGUGGGAUUUUGACGGUUCCAAUCGAAUAAGCCACGGCUAACUACGUGCCAGCAGCCGCCGCGGUAA
rnacentral:rRNA from 1 species